rnacentral:rRNA from 1 species
GACGAACGCUGGCGGCGUGCCUAAUACAUGCAAGUCGAACGCAGUGGGGACGGGUGAGUAACACGUGGGUAACCUACCAUCAGAGGGGAUAACACUUGGAAACAGGUGCUAAACCGAUACUGAUGGAUGGACCCGCGGUGCAUUGGCUAGUUGGUGAGGUAACGGAUCACCAAGGCCACGAUGCAUAGAUGACCUGCGGGGGUCAUCAGACACACUGGGACUGAGAAACGGCCCAGAGUCCUACGUGAGGCAGCAGUAGGGAAUAUUCGGCAAGGGACGAAAGUCUGACGGAGCAACGCAGCGUGAGUGAAGAAGGUUUUCGGAUCGUAAAACUCUGUUGUUAGAGAAGCGGUAUCUAACCAGAAAGCCACGGCUAACUACGUGCCAGAAGCCGCGGUAAUAC